rnacentral:rRNA from 1 species
UACGUAGGCAGCAAGCGUUGUUCGGAGUUACUGGGCGUAAAGAGUGCGUAGGCGGUCCUGUAAGUUUGGUGUGAAAUCUCCCGGCUCAAGCUGGGAGGUGCGCCGAAGACUGCAGGGCUUGAGUAUGGGAGAGGUAAGCGGAAUUCCCGGUGUAGAGGUGAAAUUCGGUAGAUAUCGGGAGGAACACCAGUGGCGAAGGCGGCGAUCUGGGAAGAUACUGACGCUGAGGUGCGAAAGCGUGGGGAGCAA